rnacentral:lncRNA from 1 species
CCGAUUUCGUAAAUGAGUCCAUUGAAAGAAGAACAACCGGGGCCUCCAGUGAGCCAGAGGAAAAAAGGGUCAGUCUGAGGGUUCCCUUGUGACUCAAUGAAGUAGUAGAACAACUCCGAGUCUCCAACGCUUACGUAUCUGGAAAACACUAACCCUAUGACCCAUCACCAUUUCCACCUCCAAAAGAAAAACAAUCUAGCGCCACAAUGCCUCAAAAAAAUUGCAAAAUUAAAGAAAAACACUAACCCGGUUUCAAGCUUGAAAGUAAGGUUCCCAUAGCCAGGCAGAUACUCGACGAUGGAACCGGCCGAGGCUGCAUUUGCUGAGACUAACACUACAAGCAACAACCGCAGAAACAGCCCUCCAUGAAACAUACUAGAAUUGGAUGGCCUUUUUGCAGCCAUACUUCAACUACAC